CGGGAAGGAGCACCUUCGAAGGGCGCCCUCUCUCUGGUCUCCCCGCGCGCAGCCGGGGGCGGCCAGGGCCGGAGAGCCCCGCUUGCCCCUCCACGCACGAGAGCGAACGAGGAGGGGUCAGGAUGAAGGGCGGAAGAGGAGAGGGCGUCCGUCUCACCCAGCCCUGGCAGACCACCGGCCUCACCUCGCCGGAAGGCUCCGUGUGGGCACAGGCUCCCGUCUGCGCGGUCACGUCGGGUCCCCGGGUCCGGAACAGCUGCUCCCCGCUCGCGCUCGCGCCCGCUCCCCUGCUGCGGCGGCGCCGGCCCCUCUCUCUUGCCGUCCAGCCGCCGCCGCCGCCGCUAGCGUGCCCUCCUCCGCUGCCAUGGCGAUAGUCACCGCCCCCAACUGCCUCCGAUUGGUCCGGCCUGGCCGGCUCCGGUUAGCGGAGGGCUCUGAUUGGGCGGGGCGGGGAUGAGGCCGACGGGGCGAGAGAGCCAGAAGGAAAGAGAGGAGGCCGGCCCGGGGACGGAUAGGAGGGUGGGCUCCCUAAGAGUACAUCUGGCCUUCCAGUUUUUCCACUUUGGUGACUUCUACAUCCAUUCUUCCUCAGCCAUGCAUAGAAGUCAUGUCAGCCAGGAGAGAAUGCAAAUUUUCUUUCCAAAAUGGAGAAACUGCAGAAAUAAUUUACCAAAAGGAGAAGGAAAAGUAAGAAAGGCAAGUAUUAAUCGUGUUUGACAAAUUUUAAAAAAAAAUCUUCAAAGCCUUAUACUAUGUACCUUUUAUCAAAGCUCGUGGUGGCCUCUAUUUCUGCUUUCUAUAAUAUUCCAUAAUCCCCAUGUUGCUUCACAUUCUGCAUAAGAUUGCUGGGCUUGCUGACUUUUGUAUCCAGGGAAACCUGUGCUUUGAGCAUAAUAAAACUGCAGUGUUCUCUCUGUGUUGUUGAUUUGAUGAUUGACAGCGUAAUUUUUAUGUUAUCAUUCUGGAUUACAUUCACAUAAAUUAGGGUCUUUUCCAUCUUUUGACCUUUCCCAAGAAUCUAAAAAGGGCUUUUGGGGAAAAAAAUCAUACACACACAUAUACUUUUUCAGUUCUGUUGUAAAUUAGGGUUUCAAUAGGUUUUCACAAGUGGCAAAUAGGUUAGUUUGAGCAAUUCCCAAAGAAGUUAUUCUUUUAUUACUUGAAGAGACCCUUUCUAUGUGAGGAUGAGCUGAGUCAGUCAAUAAAAAUUUAUUUAAUACUUUAUUUAACACAAAAGACAAAAGAUAGCCCUAGUUCUCAAGGCCCUCAUAAAAUAAUGGGGGAGACAAUAUGCAAACAGCUAUGUUCAAACAGCUAUGUACAAACAAGCUAUAUACAGGAUAAACAGAAAAUAAUUAACAGAAGCCACUAGAAUUAAGAGAGAUUAGGAAAGGCUUUCUGGAGAAAAUGAGAUUUUAGUUGAAGGAAGCCAAUAGACUAGGGUAAGGAAGAAGAGCAAUCCAGACAGUCUAAGACUUGUUACCUUGCCUUAUGACUAGAAUUGAGAUAAAAUGAUGCACAUUAAAAUGUUUUACUCACUAAUCAAGUUGGACACAUCAGAAUAUACCUUAAUCCCCAUUGUCACUUCCAAACUAUCUCUUAUCACUAUCACUCAGUAAAGUGCUCCUUUAAAUUCAUUCAAUCAAAAUUUAUUACCCAAUAAGGAUUCUAGAAGUUUCUAUUUACUAACCCUAAAAAUAUUUUCUUUCUGUAAGUGAAAUAUUGGCUUAUAGUCUCUCUACACCUCAAUUUUUGCUCUUGUACCAGGGGACUUCAACAUAUAUAUUGAGUUUACUAACUUCCCUGUCCACAGUCUUCUCAAAUUUCAUGACAUAUUCUGCAUUUCACCUCAAUUACAUACAAAGAUACCCUUAAUCUUUCCAUCACCUAUAAGAAUCCCUCUUUCAUGUUCAUAAAUUACAAAACUCCUUCAUUUGAUCAUAAUCUUUUAUCAUUAUAACUUUCCCUCUGAUCUAUAUGACCAUUAUCCUGUCCAUUACCAUGAUCUCCAAAGCUUCCACCCCUCAAUUCAUUCCCAAGUCAUCACCUCUUUAGUGGCUAUAUUCUCUCCCCUUUCUAAUUCCACCUGCUUGGUAAAUUACUUCAGUUCUAUACUUAAUUUCCUUUUCCCCUUAUCUGUUACCAAUCAUGCCUUGCCAAGCCCCAAAUUUGUAUUACUCCUACCAUCUGGUGCCCAUGCUUCUAUUCACAUGCUGCUGAAUGAAACCAAAGAAAAUCAGGAAACUGCUGCCUAGAUCUACUACAAAUUACAUAAUCUCAUCUGGGUUCUCAUUUCAGCAAGGCAAUUCUUUCUAUCUCCCUAAUUAACUCAUUGCCCUGCUUAUUACAGUAGUUCUAAACAUUAUCUCUUCAUGCUUCUCAUAGUAACCCCUCCCCUCACUGUUUCAGCUUAGUCUUUACUUCAUAUUUUACCAAAAACUUGAGGUCAUUAAAUUUAAAUAUUCCUCUCUUCUUCUUCAUCUCAUAUCACAUAGAUGCCAUUCUUCACUAUCUCCUCCCCUCAACUGGUACCCUUGAUCUCAUUCCCUUCUUAUUUUCUUUAACAGAUUGCCUCCUUUAUCAUCCCCACUCUCAUACUAAUCUUCACUUUUUAUAUUAGUAAUUAGGCUUUCUUUAUUUUUAAAAAUCAAAUUGUCCAGUUUAUCUAUCUAAUUGGAUUGUUGUGGUUGUUUUGUUUUGUUUUUUCCAUAAAACCAGCAUCUGGUUUUAUUUAUUGGUUCAAUAGUUGUUGUUGCUUUACUAUCAAA
rnacentral:lncRNA from 1 species